GAUCAUGGCUCAGAUUGAACGCUGGCGGAAUGCUUACACAUGCAAGUCGAACGGUAGAGGGGGCAACCCUUGAGAGUGGCGAACGGGUGAGUAAUAUAUCGGAACGUGCCCAGUCGUGGGGGAUAACGUAGCGAAAGUUACGCUAAUACCGCAUACGAUCUAAGGAUGAAAAGCGGGGGACUCGCAAGAGCCUCGCGCGAUUGGAGCGGCCGAUAUCAGAUUAGGUAGUUGGUGGGGUAAAGGCUCACCAAGCCAACGAUCUGUAGCUGGUCUGAGAGGACGACCAGCCACACUGGAACUGAGACACGGUCCAGACUCCUACGGGAGGCAGCAGUGGGGAAUUUUGGACAAUGGACGCAAGUCUGAUCCAGCCAUUCCGCGUGCAGGAUGAAGGCCCUCGGGUUGUAAACUGCUUUUGUACGGAACGAAAAGGUUUCUAUUAAUACUAGGAGCUCAUGACGGUACCGUAAGAAUAAGCACCGGCUAACUACGUG
rnacentral:rRNA from 1 species